rnacentral:lncRNA from 1 species
ACAAUUCCUAAUUUUAAACCAAACAUGGUUUGUCCAUAUCCAUUGCCUAAAAUUUGUGAUGUGUAACAUCAAAAUAAAUAAAAAUGGCUAAUGAGUUAUAAGUAUUCUAAUGAAUAAGAUAUAUUCUUCAUAAUAAAUGGAAAUCCCAUAUUUUAGGCAUAUCAAUAUGCUACAUUGUACAACAAACAUAUCACAUAUCACAUAGCCAUAUCCAUAUCCAUAUGAUACAAGAAAGAGUGGAUGAAUCCAAAAAUACAAACUAAACAAUUACAGGAAACUAGAGCCUAGAGGAUAUGCCCACAUCUUGUUUUUCUCCUAUAGCUAGCUAAAUACAGAUAGAAAGUGUAAUCAUCCAAUUAAACUUUCCAAUCUUGUCUUUAUUCCUCUUGAUCAAUCAUAUAGUAUUUUGAUAUCAUCGAUGCCACUCCAUUUAUAUUUACCAUAUAAUAGUAACUAGUUAUCUAGAAAUAUAUUAUUGACAUCCAUAAAAAAUGAAGAACGGGUAGAAUGUCUGAAGUGUGGGUACGGGAGUUGUUCUGCUACUAAAAGGUAGAAAAGCCCCAUUACUCCAGCGUGUUCCUUGGUGCUAUUGUAGAUAGAUUCUAGAGUUAAAGUUUCACCAUCAAUUAUUUUGACAGAACCUAGUUUAGGAUAACAAGUGGACAUUCCUACAAUGUAUCCUGCUUCAUUUCCGGCAUCAUUUCCAUUUCCAUAAGUUGGUAUAGAUGAACAUAUAACCCUUCCGUCCUGAAAACAUAAUAUCCACAAAUUUCACUACUUUACAAUGUUUAACUUCUUGAUCAAAAUUUAAAGUCGCAGAACAACAACCCUAGUACAAAAGUAAACAUACAAAAAACGUAAACAGAGAACACAUGAUAUUUGAUCAAUUAGACAAUUCCAUAGUUACCUUUGAAUUAAUUCAUACCUGUAAAAAGUGAUAUCUAAAUUGUACAAUUGUUCUAAAAAAGAUUUGAACUCUAUCUAUUAAAGUUACAAAGUUAAAGUCUUACCAUAAUAAUUGUAACUUGUAACUAUUAUAAAUUACCUGUCCAUAUAGAGUUGAUCCAAUUCCACCCGAAUGUUGAUGAGCAACACCAUAUAUCACAUAGCCACCAAUUUGUAGUGGGAGACUUGUCCUCUUCACAUGAACACAACUAUUUGCCUCAUUAUGGUCUGCAUUGCAAGCUUCAACUAUAUAAUCAAUCUGAAACAAAGAAAUAUGUGUUGCUCACUAUAAAAUUCCCAAUAAAGUAAUUUAUUAGUGUUGCAUGUUUUUGAGUCAAAUUGAGAUUGAAACAAAAAAACUAUAAUGGAUUCAUUUACCAAAUGUUUCUUGAUGAAUUCAUUUACCUUGCAAUUAUGGUCUGAAUUCAUUCCUUUUGAAUCAUCUGAUAGUUUCAAAGUAUCAGUCACAUCAAUUAUAUAUAUCUUAACAGGCACUAUAAAAUCAUCCCAAUCAACCCAUUCCACAGUGUAUUUCAGGUAAAGACUUCUCUUUGGACCCUCAAAACCUUCCUUCAACUUACACUGUGUAUGAUCAUAACAACAUACCAAACCUCCUUUAUAAUCUGGCCUAAUAGACCUUCCAUGUGAAUCCACCGUAACAUUAUAAAGCUCGCACUUACAUUCAGUGCACCCUAACUUAUCCUCCACACCGCGUGUAUCAAUUGCAUGAACAUUAACCAACCAUUUCUCCUCGAACCCUUCCGGAAUCUCUGCAGGAUUCCCUAUCUCUAUUCCAAAAGGAUCCGGAAUAUCGGUCGCUGUUCCUCGUGUUUCGGAUCCAAGACCAAAGUAUUGUGGAAGAGUAUUUCCCUGACAUGUGCCACUGUUCCUAACAGUAUUAUUCCACUGCAAGUUUGCUUUACUUUGAUGAUAUCUUACAACAAGCCAAUGAUGGAGAUAAGUUUCAUGAAGAGGUAUAGGAUUACCAGCUUCAUCAACUACUUCAGCAUUGAAACUCUUGAUUGCUACACGACCUCUUGGAAAAUCAAUAUCAUAAUAAAUUCCAUUAACAACUGAUCCAGGUCCUAGCUCAAAUUUGGGGGACAAAAAAACAGCUGAUUUUAUCUUAGCUUUAGUCUUCAGAAUUGAACCUGAGCAUGAUGUGCUCAACAACAGAAGAAGUAUUGCAAGUGAAGAUACAAAAUUUUCAGACAUAAAAGUAGAACACAUGUUGAUCUGUUAGCAAAAGAACACAGUUGGGGUUUGUUUGUUUGUUGAGGAGAAAUUUAGAGUUUGUCGGUAUCAAAUGGUAGAUUUAACUUAUAUUUAUAGAUCAAUGAAUGAAUGAAAGUGAAGUAAUUUAAAAAAAAGUCAUGUUCUGUUGAACCCAUUGGGAUUGGUCGAGUGGUGUUGGCUUGGGCUCUUGGAGUAUGCUCCUCUCAAGGUCUCAGGUUCGAUUCCCACUGGUGCCAAUUUCGGUGAGCUAAGUCCAUACAGAGCAAAAAAAACUCUGGCUUUAAAUGGGGCCCCCGCAAGUGGGCGGUGGAAUUGGUCCCCUUAAAUUAGUCGGUCCUAAGACCGGAUACCAAGUUUUUAAAAAAAAAAGAGUCAUGUUCUGUUGUUUCCUAGUAGGUAACACUCAUCAAUAGGUUCGUUGCAAAAUUUAAGUAUGCACAGGAAAAACGUUUAACUUACUGUGAGAUCUUACACCUCAUGUUGAUAAUUUAAGGAUAUUUAAGUCACUUCAUAUGCAUAUGACAAAUUAUCAAUGGGUCCUAGUUUGACUAGCGAAAACAGUUUCAAAAUCAAACACAAUAUAAUUGAAAUUAUGUUGUCCAGUCUCUUAUUUUUUAGCAGAUUAAAUGCACAAAUUUUACUCCAUCUAAUCUAACCUUAGUUUUGCGAGCUUAAUUAUAACUUAUAAGUAAAUAUUUCACUCAUUUAAUAACCGGUUAAAUACAUCGGUUUUAUUCAAUAAAUCUAUAAAAAAGAAGUGACAAAAUUACACCAUGAGUCAUUUAUCUUAUUUAUUUCUAAUAGAUUUGUCGGGUAUUUUUUUUUUAAAAAAAAAAACUGAUCACCUAUCUUGAUAAAUGUGCACAAUUUAAUCAUUUAUCAUAUUUAUUUGUAAUAUAUUCAUCUAUUAUCUUAUUUAUUUGUAACAUAUUCGUCCUUUAUCUUUUUUUCUUUUCCCACACAUGUCAUUUAUCUUUAUAAAUGUGCACAACUUAAUUUUUUAUCUUAUUUAUUUGUAACAUAAUAAAAUGUUUGAAACAUGGAACAAGGUGUUCUUGCGAUGAAGCACCGACACCUCUAUGAUUAGGCGUGUCGCGAUGUCCGACACGUGUCGGUGUCCGACACACGUAUGACACUCGUACGACACGUGUCGGAUAGCUCAGAUCGGUGUCCAUAAAAACUCAAUUUUUCAAUAAAUAACUUGCUCAACUUAGAUUUACAUGUAUAUAUUUUGACUCUCAAUUUAUAUUUUUUAUAAAUAUGUAGCGGUGUCGGUGUUCUAUAUUUUUUACAAUAGCGGUGUCGCGGCGUCCGUGUCGGUGUCGUGUCGCAGUGUCCGUGUCGGAGUCUGUGCUUCAUAGCUUGCGAGUAUAUUUGGAAAGACACUAAAGGUUGGAUUUUAAAUGUUAGUGGUUAAGUCGAAUGUUGGAUAUACAAGAGAAGUGACUCAUGAACUAAUACCUUAAAGUUUUGUGUAGAGAUACGACGUCUCCCUCUCAUGUGAUCCUGGAGUAUUAACUCAUUGUUACUUUCGACGCUACCUGAACUCUCCAGUAAAUGGUAUCAAAACUGUGGUUCGAUAGUGUUUAUAAAAUUUGAUCACCUCUCUUCUUACAAGCAGAUUUUAUAAGAUCGAAUUAGACUCAAGUUAAAUUCUAACAAAACCCUUUGAUUGUUACUAUUCUCUGCACUCUGCAGAUGUCCUGUUAUUCUUCUGGACUGCCUUAAUCUCAUGACUUGUGUGAGAAUUAACUACAAGAGAAUAGUAAAAAUAUGCUAAUAAUAACAACCAUGGCUUGAAUGUGGUUGAACACUUCUGGCUUGAAUUCAGUAUAAUCUUGAAGGCCGUUCUCUUUAUUUAUUUAGCAAAUCCUUGAAUAUUAAUAUUGGUUACUCCAAGGCUAAUAUUUAGAUAUAAUUUAUCUCAAUUUAAGCCAUUGGAUAUAUCUUUUUUUAACUUCUGAGUCUCGUCAUACAUUACCUGUGUAUAUAUAGUGUAUAUCUAUCUGUCUGAUUUAAGGGGCUAUAAAAUAUUUAUGCCAGGAUCCUGUUUGUUACACUACACAGUAAGAUUACUACAGAUGCNNNNNNNNNNNNNNNNNNNNNNNNNNNNNNNNUUUCAGAUCAGAGAUUAGUUCUAUAAAAAUGUGUUAAUCUAUUACUAUCACUUUCUACCCUUGAGGCCUUGACAAAUGAGUUCAUUCUCACUAUUGAAAUGAGAGGAAGUGACGGGGACCAGAGUUGAGGCGAAGUUACAAACGUAGGGAGCAGCGACGGUUGAGCUAUGAACGAGGAAGCAAAUGUGGGUUCACAAUUUUGCCAAGGGUGGCAGACAACUGACUUGUUCCGUAAGGAAGCCACACCUGUGGCAGGACCCUAUACUUGUUCCAUAGCCACUUUGCAUGUACGUUUCAAGAGAGAAGAUCUUUUAAGCAACUUUAGGACAUAAACAACAUUAGCUACUCACAAUUCCUAAUAUUAAACAUCAAAAUAAAUUUGUGAUGUGUAACAUCAAAAUAAAUAAAAAUGGCUAAUGGGUUAUAAGUGUUCUAAUGAAACAGAAAUAUUCUUCAUAAUAAAUGGAAAUCCCAUUAUUUUAAGCAUAUCAAUAUGCUUUUUAUUUUUUGAAACAUAAGCAUAUCAAUAUGCUACAUUGUACAACAAACAUACCACAUAGCCAUAUCCAUAUGAUACCAGAAAGAGUGGAUGAAUACAAAAAUACAAACUAAACAAUUACAGGAAACUAGAGGAUAGAAUGUCUAAAGUGCUGGUAUAUGGGAGUUGUUCGGCUACUAAAAGGUAGAAAAGCCCCAUUACUCCAGCGUGUUCCUUGGUGUUAUUGUAGAUAGAUUCUAGAGUUAAAGUUUCACCAUCGAUUAUCUUGACAGAACCUGGUUGAGGAUAACAAGUGGACAUUCCUACAAUGUGCCCUACUUCAUUUCCUGCUUCAUUCCCAUUUCCAUAAAUUGGUAUAGAUGAACAUAUAACCCUCCCGUCCUGAAAACAUAAUCCACAAAUUUCACAAAACAAGCUACUGCACAAUGUUUAACUACUUGAUCAAAGGUAAAAGUACUAGAAAACAACCCUGGUACAAAAGUAAACAUUCGAAAAACGACCAAGUAUUGAAGUUACAAACUCAAAGUCUUACCACUACCAAAUAUUUAAGAAUGACAAUAAGUUGUAACUAUUGCAAAUUACCUGUCCAUAUAGAGUUGAUCCAAUUCCGCCCGAAUGUUGAUGAGCAACCCCAUAGAUCACAUAGCCACCUGUUUGAAAUGGGAGAUUUGUCCUCUUUACAUGAACACAACCAUUUUCCUCCUUGUGGUCUGUACUGCAUGAUUCUACUUGAUACUCAACCUGAAACCAAAAAAAAUUCCAUGUUGCUUACUAUAAAACCCAACAAAGUAGAGUUUUAGAGUUAAAUAGAGAUUUAGACAAACAAACUACAUAUAUAGUUGAGAGACUCGACAUUCACACAAUCAGUACACCGGUAGCCGUUGGAUUGAGAUUGGACCAUCAUAGAUUCCAAGUGCGGUAUUUUGGAUUUUCAAACAAUCAAAAUCAUAUAUUUUGGGAAAUGUCCGAUUUUUAACCAACAGUCACUGGUGCAUUGAAUACGUGAAAGCAGGGUAUCCCAACUACACUGAACCCAUUUCAACUAACCAAAUGUUUCUUGAUAAAUUCAUUUACCUUGCAAUUAUGAUCUGAGUUCGUUCCUUUUGAAUCAUCUGAUAGUUUCAAAGUAUCAGUCACAUCAAGUACAUAUAUCUUAACAGGCACUAUAUAAUCAUCCCAAUCAAUCCAUUUCACUUUGUAUCUUAAGUAGAGGCUUCUCUUUGGACCCUCAAAACCUUCCUUCAGCUUGCACUGUGUAUUAUCAUAACAACAUAACAAACCUCCUUUAUAAUCUGGUCUAAUAGACCUUCCAGAUUCAUCGAUUGUAACAUUAUAAAGGUCACACUUACACUCGGUGCACCCUGAUUUAUCCUCUGCGCCGCGAUUAUCAAUAGCAUGAAUAUUAACCAGCCAUUUCUCCUCAAACUCUUCUGGAAUCUCUGCAGGAUUACCUAUCUCUAUUCCAAAAGGAUCCGGAAUAUCAGUCGCCGUUCGUCGUGUUUCGGAUCCAAGGCCAAAGUAUUGUGCAUAAAUAGUUCCCUGACACAUGCCACUGUUCCUAAAAGUAUUUUUCAAAUGCGAGUUUGCUUUACUUUGAUGAUAUCUUACAACAACCCAAUGAUGGAGAUAAGUUUCAUGGAGAGGUAUAGGAUUACCAGCUUCAUCAACUACUUCAGCAUCGAAACUCUUGAUUGCUACAUGACCUCUUGGAAAAUCAAUAUCAUAAUAAAAUCUAUUAACAACUGAUCCAGGUCCUAGCUCAAAUUUGGGGGAUAAGAAAACAGCUGAUUUUAUCUUAGCUUUAGUCUUCAGAAUAGAACCUGAGCAAGAUGUGCUCAACAACAGAAGAAGUAUUGAAAGUGAAAAUACAAAAUUUCCAGACAUAGAACACAUGUUGAUCUUAGCAAAAUCUUGCAUGAUAGUCCUCCCUGGAAGCCUUUAAAAAAGUGAAUUAAACUACAAAAUAAACAAAACAGAUAAUAUAUGGCAGAUCAUAUCACCAAAUAAACUAACUACACAAAUAAGCAUGAAAAAGACAUAGUUUGAACAAAAUCAUCAUCAUCAAGAUUUUAAAUUAGUCACAUGGCAACUUAUAAAUACAGUUGAAGUUGAUUCAGCUUCAAUUGCAAUCACAACUAGUCAUCAAAAUUUUGAUGUUGUGACUACAAUUGUUGUCACAGAACAUAACAUUUUUAAAACAUAAACUUAUGAUCAAGCAACUUUGUUUUAUAUUAAAAAAAAAAGUAUAAUUAGCAAUAUUAGAUAGUGAUUAUAGAAACUAAUGACCAAAAAGGAUUAGAGUAUAUGAUCAAGAAUAGAUAGAUGAGAUUGCAUACCUCAAGAAAGUCUGGAAAAUGACAGAGUCUGGAAAUUUAGAGUGUGUCGGUAUUAAAUAGUAGAUAAGAUAAUGAAUGAGUGAAUGAAUGCAAGUGUAGAGAUUGUAAUUCAAUAUUUUAAAUUAUCUUUUCUUUCCUUUUUGGGACACGCAGCCCCUAAAUAUAUUUAGCCGACUAAAUUAAUAUAUUUAAAUAGCUUAAGCAUUUUAUUAAAAAUAAAUGGUAUAAUCAACUUCUGAUAAUGUCUAAUUUUUUUUUUUAAGUAAAAAUGGAAAGCAUGACAUCAUAGUAAGUCAUCGACAUCCCAACUAUAUUGACACCUCAGUGCACUAUCACUCCUCUAUUAUCUCACCAAAAAUAUACUUCAUAAUUUGUCUUAUCCUUUUAACAAUUACUAGUAAUUAUUCAUUGACAAUGAUAUGUUGGUGCUCCCAUCCCACCUCUAAAAAAAAUUUCUCCAUCUUCAAAAAUAUAUAAGAAAAUGAUAAAGAAAAUGAGUGGCUGAUAAGCUCUAUAUUAUUCUAAAUACUAAAUUUAUCCGUUGAAAUUUUUUAAAUUCAGAACUACUUCACAAAGUGAUAUCUUACGUAUUUUCUAUAUAGGAGCAUAAGUGUCUUCACAAAAUACUAAUUCCUUUAGUUCAAUUUUUCUACCCAACCAAACAAGCAAAGAGAACACUUAUCUUUUCUUACCCAGUUUCUCUUUUCUCGAAUACAUAGGUGUUAUUCAAAAAUCUAAAAAAAUGUGACAAAAUUAUACUAGGAGUUAUUUAUCUUUAUUAUUGAUUUUUAUUGCGAAGUUGUAGUGCACCAUUCUUAUCGUGGAGCAAACUUUUGUGCGGAUACAUUGACAAAUUACGAGUGUUUAUUGGAUAAAAAGAUGAAAUUUUAAGAGUCAUAUCCGGUGAAUUUUAGUCAUUUGUUAAUUACUAAUGUAAUUGGGAGAAUUUCUUCCGCUAUAUUAAUCUUGUGUAAUCUUUUUUCUCUUUUCUCGAAUACAUAGGUGUUAUUCAAAAAUCUAAAAAAAUGUGACAAAAUUAUCCUAGGAGUUAUUUAUCUUUAUCUUCUUUUUUCCCCAAAUUGAUCACUUAUCUUUAUAAAUGUGCACAACUAAAUCUUUUAUCAUAUUUGUUUGUAACAUAUUCAUCAAUUAUUUUAUUUAUUUAUAACAUAUUCAUCCUUUAUCUUAUUUUUUAUCUCACACGUGUCAUUUAUCUUUAUAAAUGUGUACGAAUAUUUCAAAGGGAUGGGCUGCAAUAUUUCAAUGUUUGGUCGCGAGGUAAGGAAAGUUUGACAAAAAAUUUAUUCCCACCAAAUAUCGAACUCAGGUUCUCCCGAACAAUUCAUCCUUAAGGGAGCUAAUUUACUCUAUAUUAUCCAAUAAACAUGGAUGUUCUUGCGAGUAUAUUUGGAAAGACACUAAAUGUUGGAUUUUAAAUGUUAGUGGUUCAGUCGAAUGUUGGAUAUAAAAUGUUGCGAGUAUAUCAGAACUGUGGUUCAAUAGUGUUUAUAAAAUUUGGACACCACUCUCUUACAAGCCGAUUUUAUAAGAUCGAAUUAAACUAACUCAAAUUCUAACCAAACCCUUUGAUUGAUUGUUACUAUGUCUGCACAAGAUCUGUUAUUCUUUUGUAUUGCCUUAAUCUCAUGACUUGUGUAUAUCUAUCUUUCUGAUUUAAGGGGCUAUAAAAUAUUUAUUCCAGGAUCCUGUUUGUUACACUACACUGUAAGAUUGUUUCAGAUGCUAAAUUAGCGUUUCAGAUCAGAGAUUAGUUCUAUAACAAUGUGUUAACCUAUUACUAUCACUUUCUACCCUUGAGGCCUUGACAAAUGAGUUUGUUCUGACUAUUGAAACGAGAGAGACGAACAUGGACAAAAACUAACCUAAUUGAAAUGCAAUGGUGACAACUGAGNNNNNNNNNNNNNNNNNNNNNNNNNNNNNNNNNNNNNNNNNNNNNNNNNNNNNNNNNNNNNNNNNNNNNNNNNNNNNNNNNNNNNNNNNNNNNNNNNNNNNNNNAUAUCUAUAUCCAUAUAUGAUACUUAUCACAUAGCCAUAUAACAUAUUCAUAUAUGAUACAAGAAAGAGUGGAUGAAUCCAAAAAUACAAACUGUAUAUCACUAAAACUAGAGAAUAUGCUCACCUCUUGUUUUUCUCCUAUAGCUAGCUACAUACAAAGAGAAAAAAGUGUAAUUAUCCAAUUACACUUUCCAAUCUUGUCUUUAUUCCUCUCAAGUCUUAACCAACCAUAUGGUAAUUUAAUAUCAUGUCACUCCGCUUAUAUUACCAUUUAUUUACAUCCAUAAAAAAUGAAGAACGAGUAGAAUGUCUAAAGUGUUGGUAUGGGAGUUGUUCUGCUACUAAAAGGUAGAAAAGCCCCAUUACUCCAGAGUGUUCCUUGGUGUUAUUGUAGAUAGAUUCUAGAGUUAAAGUUUCACCAUCGAUUAUCUUGACAGAACCUGGUUGAGGAUAACAGGUGGACAUUCCUACAAUGUACCCUACUUCAUUUCCUGCUUCAUUCCCAUUUCCAUAAGUUGGUAUAGAUGAACAUAUAACCCUACCGUCCUGAAAACAUAAUUCACAAAUUUCACAAAACAAGCUACUGCACAAUGUUUAACUUCUUGAUCAAAAGUAAAAGUACUAGAAAACAACCCUGGUACAAGAGUAAACAGAUACGAAAAACGACCAAGUAUUGAAGUUUCAAAGUCAAAGUCUUACCACUAUCAAGUAUUUAAGAAUGACUAUAAGUUAUAAAUAUUGCAAAUUACCUGUCCAUAUAGAGUCGAUCCAAUUCCAC